rnacentral:lncRNA from 1 species
AGUUUACAAAAUUAUUUUUUAAUUUUUAUUAUUUUUAUAUUUUACAGAGAUGGGGCUCUUGCUGUAUUGCUCAGGCUGGUCUUGAACUUCUGGACUCAAGCAAUCCCCCACCCCAGCCUCCCCAGGUGCUGGGAUUAAAGAUAAAAUUGACAAUGAACAUGGUUAAACAGGCAGGGAUGACAUUAUUCAAGACUGUUGUAAUAGUGUUCAAGACUGCUGCAAUAGGAGAAAGAACGUGAACUCAACUCUGCUGAUGCAAAUGGUGG